UUGUAACUACCUUGUAACUCCGAUUUUGUAGCAUAAAGGUAGCUUACAAGAACGGGGAGAGAUGAUUGUGAG
rnacentral:pre_miRNA from 26 species